GCGGCGCGCUUAACACAUGCAAGUCGAGCGAUGAAACUUUAACAGAACCCUUCGGGGCGAAGAUAAAGUGGAUUAGCGGCGGACGGGUGAGUAACACGUGAGUAACCUGCCUUAGACAUUGGGAUAGCCUCGGGAAACCGGGAUUAAUACCAAAUAAAAUCAUAAUGACACAUGUCAUAACGAUCAAAACUCCGGUGGUCUAAGAUGGACUCGCGUCCCAUUAGCUAGUUGGUAGAGUAAAAGCCUACCAAGGCGACGAUGGGUAGCCGGCCUGAGAGGGUGAACGGCCACAUUGGAACUGAGAAACGGUCCAAACUCCUACGGGAGGCAGCAGUGGGGAAUAUUGCACAAUGGAGGGAACUCUGAUGCAGCGACGCCGCGUGAACGAAGAAGGCUUUCGAGUCGUAAAGUUCUUUUAUAUGGGAAGAUAAUGACGGUACCAUAAGAAAAAGCCCCGGCUAACUACGUGCCAGCAGCCGCGGUAAUACGUAGGGGGCUAGCGUUGUCCGGAAUCACUGGGCGUAAAGGGUUCGCAGGCGGAAAUGCAAGUCAGAUGUAAAAGGCAGUAGCUUAACUACUGUAAGCAUUUGAAACUGCAUAUCUUGAGAAGAGUAGAGGUAAGUGGAAUUUUUAGUGUAGCGGUGAAAUGCGUAGAUAUUAAAAAGAAUACCGGUGGCGAAGGCGACU
rnacentral:rRNA from 2 species